UGGGGAAUUGUUCGCAAUGGGCGCAAGCCUGACGACGCAACGCCGCGUGGAGGAUGAAGGUCUUCGGAUCGUAAACUCCUGUUGCCCGGGACGAAUAGCUUCGACCUAACACGUCGAAGUCUGACGGUACCGGGUGAGGAAGCCCCGGCUAACUCUGUGCCAGCAGCCGCGGUAAUACAGAGGGGGCAAGCGUUGUUCGGAAUUACUGGGCGUAAAGGGCGCGUAGGUGGCCUUCUAAGUUGAACGUGAAAUCCCUGGGCUCAACCCAGGAACUGCGUCCAAGACUGGGAGGCUUGAAUCCGGGAGAGGGAUGCGGAAUUCCAGGUGUAGCGGUGAAAUGCGUAGAUAUCUGGAGGAACACCGGUGGCGAAGGCGGCAUCCUGGACCGGUAUUGACACUGAGGCGCGAAAGCCAGGGGAGCAAACGGGAUUAGAUACCCGAGUAGUCCCUGAGCGGGCUGGCAAGGCGCAU
rnacentral:rRNA from 1 species